UACGUAGGGGGCUAGCGUUGUCCGGAUUUAUUGGGCGUAAAGAGCGUGUAGGCGGCCAGGUAGGUCUGGUGUGAAAACUCGAGGCUUAACCUCGAGAUGUCAUCGGAAACCAUCUGGCUAGAGUCCGGAAGAGGAGAGUGGAAUUCCUGGUGUAGCGGUGAAAUGCGCAGAUAUCAGGAAGAACACCAAUGGCGAAAGCAGCUCUCUGGGACGGUACUGACGCUGAGGAGCGAAAGCUAGGGGAGCAAACGGG
rnacentral:rRNA from 1 species